rnacentral:rRNA from 1 species
AGCGAACGCUGGCGGCAGGCUUAACACAUGCAAGUCGAGCGGGCAUCCUUGUGGUGUCAGCGGCAGACGGGUGAGUAACGCGUGGGAACGUGCCCUUCGGUUCGGAAUAACUCAGGGAAACUUGAGCUAAUACCGGAUACGUGCGAGAGCAGAAAGGUUUAUCUGCCGAAGGAUCGGCCCGCGUCUGAUUAGCUAGUUGGUGAGGUUAUGGCUCACCAAGGCGACGAUCAGUAGCUGGUCUGAGAGGAUGAUCAGCCACACUGGGACUGAGACACGGCCCAGACUCCUACGGGAGGCAGCAGUGGGGAAUAUUGGACAAUGGGGGCAACCCUGAUACAGCCAUGCCGCGUGAGUGAUGACGGCCUUAGGGUUGUAAAGCUCUUUUCUCCGGGACGAUAAUGACGGUACCGGAGGAAUAAGCCCCGGCUAACUUCGUG